rnacentral:rRNA from 1 species
GACGAACGCUGGCGGAGUGCUUAACACAUGCAAGUCGAACGGAAAGGCCCUGCUUUUGUGGGGUGCUCGAGUGGCGAACGGGUGAGUAACACGUGAGUAACCUGCCCUUGACUUUGGGAUAACUUUAGGAAACUGGGGCUAAUACCGGAUAGGAGCUCCUGCUGCAUGGUGGGGGUUGGAAAGUUUCGGCGGUUGGGGAUGGACUCGCGGCUUAUCAGCUUGUUGGUGGGGUAGUGGCUUACCAAGGCUUUGACGGGUAGCCGGCCUGAGAGGGUGACCGGCCACAUUGGGACUGAGAUACGGCCCAGACUCCUACGGGAGGCAGCAGUGGGGAAUAUUGCACAAUGGGCGGAAGCCUGAUGCAGCAACGCCGCGUGCGGGAUGACGGCCUUCGGGUUGUAAACCGCUUUCGCCUGUGACGAAGCGUGAGUGACGGUAAUGGGUAAAGAAGCACCGGCUAACUACGUG